rnacentral:rRNA from 1 species
UAGGGAAUCUUCCACAAUGGACGCAAGUCUGAUGGAGCAACGCCGCGUGAGUGAAGAAGGUUUUCGGAUCGUAAAGCUCUGUUGUUGGUGAAGAAGGAUAGAGGCAGUAACUGGUCUUUAUUUGACGGUAAUCAACCAGAAAGUCACGGCUAACUACGUGCCAGCAGCCGCGGUAAUACGUAGUUGGCAAGCGUUGUCCGGAUUUAUUGGGCGUAAAGCGAGCGCAGGCGGAAUGAUAAGUCUGAUGUGAAAGCCCACGGCUCAACCGUGGAACUGCAUCGGAAACUGUCAUUCUUGAGUGCAGAAGAGGAGAGUGGAAUUCCAUGUGUAGCGGUGGAAUGCGUAGAUAUAUGGAAGAACACCAGUGGCGAAGGCGGCUCUCUGGUCUGCAACUGACGCUGAGGCUCGAAAGCAUGGGUAGCGAACAGG